UGGACAAACAUCUGUGUCCAUCCCUAUCACCAUCUUAGAUGAUGACAUCCCUGAGCUGCAAGAGUUUUUCUUAGUCAAUAUAACAUCAGCUGUCCUCAUAACCACCCUCCCAACUGCCCCUAAACUAAAGAUUUACUAUACAUUAAAAGAUACUGAAGGCCUUGUAGCAGAGAUCAGCAUUAAUGCUAAUGAUGGAAUCCAAGGGAUCAUUGGCUGGCAAAACAUAGACUAUGUGAUAAAUGAGACAAUUGGCGUGUUAACUCUGGUGGCGUACCGUGAUGCCGGGACGUAUGGAAAUGUGUCCCUGUUCUUCUAUGCCCAGAAUCUCGAGGCUCAGUUGGGUCUGGAUUUCAAUGCUACCCCAUCAAUGAUCCAUUUUGUGGAUGGAGAACGGCACA